GACUGACUCGCUGACUGACUGACUGACUGGACUGACUCGCUGACUGACUGACAGACCGACUGACCGACCGACUGACUGACAGACUGACUGACUCGUUGACUGACUGACUGACUGGACUGACUUGCAGACUGACUGACUGACUGACUGACUGACUCGCUGACCGACCGACCGACCGACCGACCGACUGACUGACUGACUGACUCGCUGACCGACCGACCGACCGACUGACUGACCGACUGACUGACAGACUGCACAAAACACAAUUGCCUUGUGAUGGGAUGGCCUCUACCAAGAGAAAGGUGUCAGUGUGAACUGUAAUGGGAUGGCCUCUACCAAGAGAAAGGUGUCAGUGUGUAUUGUAAUGGGAUGGCCUCUCUACCAAGAGAAAGGUGUCAGUGUGAACUGUAAUGGGAUGGCCUCUCUACCAAGAGAAAGGUGUCAGUGUAGUGGGACUGUAAUGGGAUGGCCUCUCUACCAAGAGAAAGGUGUCAGUGUGAACUGUAAUGGGAUGGCCUCUACCAAGAGAAAGGUGUCAAUGUGAACUGUAAUGGGAUGGCCUCUCUACCAAGAGCUCUGCUCUCUGUGUCUCUCUGUCUCUGUGUUCCUUCCAGAGCUCUGCUCUCUGUGUCUCUGUGUUCCUUCCAGAACUCUACUCUCUGUGUCUCUGUGUUCCUUCCAGAACUCUACUCUCUGUGUCUCUGUGUUCCUUCCAGAGCUCUACUCUCUGUGUCUCUGUGUUCCUUCCAGAACUCUACUCUCUGUGUCUCUGUGUUCCUUCCAGAACUCUACUCUCUGUGUCUCUGUGUUCCUUCCAGAACUCUACUCUCUGUGUCUCUGUGUUCCUUCCAGAACUCUACUCUCUGUGUCUCUGUGUUCCUUCCAGAGCUCUGCUCUCUGUGUCUCUGUGUUCCUUCCAGAACUCUACUCUCUGUGUCUCUGUGUUCCUUCCAGAACUCUA